rnacentral:rRNA from 1 species
CCUACGGGAGGCAGCAGUGGGGAAUCUUGCGCAAUGGGCGAAAGCCUGACGCAGCCAUGCCGCGUGAAUGAUGAAGGUCUUAGGAUUGUAAAAUUCUUUCACCGAGGACGAUAAUGACGGUACUCGGAGAAGAAGCCCCGGCUAACUUCGUGCCAGCAGCCGCGGUAAUACGAAGGGGGCUAGCGUUGCUCGGAAUUACUGGGCGUAAAGGGAGCGUAGGCGGAUAGUUUAGUCAGAGGUGAAAGCCCAGGGCUCAACCUUGGAAUUGCCUUUGAUACUGGCUAUCUUGAGUACGGAAGAGGUAUGUGGAACUCCGAGUGUAGAGGUGAAAUUCGUAGAUAUUCGGAAGAACACCAGUGGCGAAGGCGACAUACUGGUCCGUUACUGACGCUGAGGCUCGAAAGCGUGGGGAGCAAACAGGAUUAGAUACCCUGGUAGUCCACGCUGUAAACGAUGAGUG